rnacentral:piRNA from 1 species
UGCUAUGUAUACCUGUGGGUUCCAGAUGGU